rnacentral:lncRNA from 1 species
CAGUAAGUCACUUAUCAACCUUCUCUCUCUCUCUUUUUUCCCCACCUCCCUUAACCAAAAAUAAGAGGAAGCUGGAUUGCUAGUUUUUGAUUAUCCAUGUGUGCAUUUUGAUUUACAAUUCUGUCAAGCCAGCAGAAUAUUUUUUUUUUCUGGUGGUGCUCUUGACAAAUUUGAGAUGAAUGCAUGAUCGCCUGGAAAUCAUAAAAUUUAUAAAUUAUUCCAUGUUAACGCUGGACCUAUGGUAAAUAUUGUUUCUGACCCGUAUUUGUGUACUUAACAAUAAAUUUAAAUGCUGCACAAUCUUUUGCCUGUGUAAUAUCCCACUUGCUCCUUUCAUUUGAAGUCUAUAUUUUAAAUGAUUGGCAUCAUAUAAUUACUGAUGCUAUGAAUCAGGUGGAAAGGUGUCAGGAGUCCAAUCUCACAUUUAUUUUCAGCUCUUCCUAUUGGUCAUUUGCUGAAGCUAGCUUUAACAGUGUCAUUUCAAAGAGGAUGAAUGAUGUAUACAAGAACUUAGGUUUUUGAACCCUUAUAUUUGAAAUUGCUUAAAAAAAAAACACAAAGAUGAAAGAUAUUAUCCAUCUUUGUGUUUUCUUUUCAUUGAGGAGCUAUAUAAUUUUAUUUGUGGGCUCUAAGCAAUAUGAGUUGAUUGAGGGCCAAAAUGAAGUGAUAAUGGGUCUGGGAUAAAGAUGAAACUUAAGAUGUGAAUAAUAGAAGCCAAAAAGAAGUCAGUUGUUGCUUGUUGUCCAAAGAUAUAAUGAUUUUCUUCUGCUAAAAAGUUUUUAGAAAUUGCUGAUUGGAAUUGUUUUAUACCGUUAUAAUAAAUGAAACUUAAGAUGUGAAUAAAAGAAGCCAAAAAGAAGUCAGUUGUCGCUUUUUGUCCGAAGAUAUAAUGAUUUUCUUCUGCUAUAAAGUUUUUAGGAAUUUGCUGAUUGGAAUUGUUCUUUAUUGUUAUAAUAAAACACCUGUCCUUAUCUAACCAUGUUCGUUUGCUGGCUUAUGUGUUUGCCAAUUGCCAUCAAUAUUGUGUACUUGUAAAAAUUUGUUGAUUCAGCUAU